GACGAACGCUGGCGGCGUGCCUAAUACAUGCAAGUUGAGCGAUGAAGAUUGGUGCUUGCCCCAAUUUGAAGAGCAGCGAACGGGUGAGUAACGCGUGGGGAAUCUGCCUUUGAGCGGGGGACAACAUUUGGAAACGAAUGCUAAUACCGCAUAAUAACUUUAAACAUAAGUUUUAAGUUUGAAAGAUGCAAUUGCAUCACUCAAAGAUGAUCCCGCGUUGUAUUAGCUAGUUGGUGAGGUAAAGGCUCACCAAGGCGAUGAUACAUAGCCGACCUGAGAGGGGGAUCGGCCACAUUGGGAAUGGGAAACGGCCCAAACUCCUACGGGAGGCAGCAGUAGGGGAUCUUCGGCCAUGGACGAAAGUCUGACCGAGCAACGCCGCGGGAGUGAAGAAGGUUUUCGGAUCGUAAAACUCUGUUGGUAGAGAAGAACGUUGGUGAGAGUGGAAAGCUCAUCAAGUGACGGUAACUACCCAGAAAGGGACGGCUAACUACGUG
rnacentral:rRNA from 1 species